CUAGUCAGUCACCUUACAGGCCAAUAGGACUAGUAUUAGAAUUAAGUAAAAUGCUAAGGAAUACUAAGACAAUAGUAACAUUCCAUAUGUUUCCGGCCCAGUCAGAAAUCCAGCAUGUGUGUCUUAGUGAGUUGGUCUUAACAUGUUUGAGAAUGAAGGGUAGCCAUUCUACCAUUAAACAGCCACUAAAGAGAGCCCUUUCCUAAAAACAUUAUCUCCUGGAAGAACAUUGAGCUCUUUUCAUCCUUCUGAAACGAUGCAAAUUGCAAAUGGGAUCAAGAUCAAGAUCAUAAACAACAAGGAAAACCAAGGAAUCAUCACAGGCUGGGGGAGACUAAGUAGACAACACAACUCAAUGCAAUGUGGAAUCCUAGAACAGAGAAAGGACGCUGGCAGAAGAAUGAGUCAAUCCAAUAAGCAGGGCCAAGACUGAUAACGAAUGGCCCGUGGGAAGCGCACGAAGUCCAACGUGAAUCAACGAUAGCACUAAUGAAAUUGCUUCAAGUUCUAGAGCAGAAGGGAGAACAAAGUGGAUCCCGUCUCCAGGCAAGGGCUCCCCCGUUCCCAUGGUGUGGAGAAGCCUGCCAAGAGCCGAACCGCGGCCUGAGUUCUAAGCACCGCCGGUCAUGUGGCUCACGAGGAGCCCAUCCAUCUUCCUGCACCUCAGGUUUGCCAGAUGGAAAAUAAGGGAUGAGGGUUAACUCUCUGGUGGUCCCUUCCAAAUCUCUCAUUUCUCCCUCUGGUUUCAUUGGCAGAUCUAUAUUCACUACAGACAAGGAAUAACUCUGUAGGUAACCUCUCAUUCUAAACCGGGCUCCGUCAGGUGAGGCUGAGAGAAGGACAUUCACUGGGAACCGUCAAGAUGUCAAAAAAUAUCAAUCCCAUGGGCCAUGUUUCCAAUCCUCCUACCUCCUACCCAGACGAACUCAUUACGAAACAGGAUUCUUACAGAUCCAUAGCAUUUUGCAAGCUGACAUAGGACCCUUUCAAACAAUGCAACCUAACCUUCACCAACAGCUAUGAUUCUCUUCCUACUCUUCUGCACAGAGAGGCCCUGACCCUCAGCUGUCGCUGGAGCUCGAGAUGGUGGCCAAGGCGAAAGCAGUCAAGCCGGAGAACUCCCGAAGGUGGUUCUCAGGGCUCAAUUAUAAACAGCCCAAAGAAAGGCUCUGCUGUCCUGGAGGGCACCUUUCAAGAGAAACAAAAAUGGGACGCUCGCUUAACAAAAGGGGACUGUUUGGCCACCAACGUCCUGAACAGGGUCUGAGUGUAUAACUGGAAGGGCUUUCUGCAAAGUUAAAAAGACAGAGAAGAAAACAACAGCAAAAAAAAAAAAAAAAAAAGGAUCAUCACAGAAUCUCCCAUUCCAAACCUUCCUUCCGCUCAGAAGUGCCAACAGAUAAAAUAUAAACCCCUUUGAAGAAAACUCCAGCCGGAGCUCAGCUUUCAGGUUUUAGAAGACACUGGCAUCCCAAGGCCUUCCCACUGUCAGAUCAAACACACACAAAAUAUUUCCCUGAUAUUUUCCCAGUUUCGCCCACACCAUAAAAAACAGGCUUUCCUUUUAAUCUACUUACCACACUGUGGGUGAAGGCCUCUAAUUUCACAGCACAGAGAUAACACAAAUAAUUCAUAUGACACAUUAGUGAAAUAUUGACAGGGAAAACAUCUAGUCAGAGCUCACCGAAAACAACAGGGAGCUCAGUGAUGGCCACAGAGGGCAGAGGGAUGCCUUUCCAACAGGGCAGAGCCCCCUCCCGCCACACUACUUGAGUUGAAGAUAAAGUCAGCCUAUUUGGAUCCGAAUUGUUUUAAGGCAACAGGUCUUCAUAAUUACACAACAUUUUUCUGGUCCCUCGAUGGGCUGCAACAUCAUCAACCUCCUUCCAGGACUUCCAGGGGCUGCUGCGUAUGUGAAAGUCCCUAGAAAACUGUUAAGUGCCAUCAACUUGCAGCAAUGGCAAUCCCACCCAGUCAUAACCAAGGUCAGCAUCCGCCUGGCCAAACACUUGGUGCAUUUCUUUUUCUCUUCCUGAUCAACUUAAAAAAAAAUUCUUUCACUUAGUUUCCCAUGGCUAGACCCAGCCUUUGAAGAUCUCACCCCCUUUCUCAAGACCCUCUUUCAACUUCCUCUCCUACGAAGUCUUCCUCCCAGGGCAAUAAGGAGACCUAUCCACAGCUACUAUUCAUUCCAUUUCUCCCACCCUUAAGGUUCUGCCAAGUGUGGGGCAGAUUGCCUUUAGAGACAGGACAACUCAAUGCUGUCUGUGUAGAAAGGGUUGUUUGUUUGUUUGUUUUAAAAAAAAAAGGCUGCAACACUUCAAUCAUCAGUUAGGCAUGUUGGGAGAGCACCAUCAAAGCAGAGAAAAGUGAAAUGCAACCCGAAACAGCAAAGGGUCUAAAACCUGACUCUGGGCUUACAAACGUUCUGACUUUAUUUUUACUUAUUUAUUUUUUGGGACGGAGUCUCAC
rnacentral:lncRNA from 1 species